CCUACGUGUGGCAGCAGUGGGGGAUAUUGCACAAUGGGGGGAACCCUGAUGCAGCGACGCCGCGUGGGUGAAGAAGCGCCUCGGCGCGUAAAGCCCUGUCAGCAGGGAAGAAAAUGACGGUACCUGAAGAAGAAGCCCCGGCUAACUACUUUCCAGCAGCCGCGGUAAUACGUAGGGGGCAAGCGUUAUCCGGAUUUACUGGGUGUAAAGGGGGCGCAGACGGCGGUGCUAGCCAGGAGUGAAAGCCCUGGGCGCAACCCCGGGACUGCAUUUGGAACUGCUUUGCUGGAGUGCAGGAGGGGCAGGCGGAAUGCCUGGUGUAGCGGUGAAAUGCGUAGAUAUCAGGAGGAACACCGGUGGCGAAGGCGGCCUGCUGGACUGCAACUGACGUUGAGGCCCGAAAGCGUGGGGAGCAAACAGGAUUAGAUACCCCGGUAGUC
rnacentral:rRNA from 1 species